rnacentral:rRNA from 1 species
GACGAACGCUGGCGGCGUGCUUAACACAUGCAAGUCGAACGGAAAGGCCCUGCUUUUGUGGGGUGCUCGAGUGGCGAACGGGUGAGUAACACGUGAGUAACCUGCCCUUGACUUUGGGAUAACUUCAGGAAACUGGGGCUAAUACCGGAUAGGAGCUCCUGCUGCAUGGUGGGGGUUGGAAAGUUUCGGCGGUUGGGGAUGUACUCGCGGCUUAUCAGCUUGUUGGUGGGGUAGUGGCUUACCAAGGCUUUGACGGGUAGCCGGCCUGAGAGGGUGACCGGCCACAUUGGGACUGAGGUACGGCCCAGACUCAUACGGGAGGCAGCAGUGGGGAAUAUUGCACAAUGGGCGGAAGCCUGAUGCAGCAACGCCGCGUGCGGGAUGACUGCCUUCGGGUUGUAAAACGUUUUAGCCUGUGACGAAGCGUGAGUGACGGUAAUGGGUAAAGAAGCACCGGCUAACUACGUG